rnacentral:rRNA from 1 species
UGGGGAAUUUUCCGCAAUGGGCGAAAGCCUGACGGAGCAAUGCCGCGUGGAGGUGGAAGGCCUACGGGUCGUCAACUUCUUUUCUCGGAGAAGAAACAAUGACGGUAUCUGAGGAAUAAGCAUCGGCUAACUCUGUGCCCGA